GACAGAGGAGCCAAGCGUUGUCCGGACUGACUGGGCGUAAAGCGCCCGCAGGCGGCCGUGCACGUGGGGUGUGAAAGCUCGCGGCUUAACUGCGAGAGGCCAUCCCCAUACGGCGCGGCUCGAGCCGUCCAGAGGCCGGUGGAAUUGCCGGUGUAGUGGUGAAAUGCGUAGAGAUCGGCAGGAACACCCAGGGGGAAACCAGCCGGCUGGGGACGUGCUGA
rnacentral:rRNA from 1 species